rfam:Pseudomonas fluorescens F113, complete genome.
AUUGAUGGUGGCUGUGCGCAGGGCGCCCCCGGGCGCGCCGGGAUUCUUAGGUUCACCGGUCGACUAACCUGCGCACAGCUGCCGCCCUC